AACGAACGCUGGCGGCAUGCCUAACACAUGCAAGUCGAACGGGAUCCUAGCUUGCUAGGUGAGAGUGGCGGACGGGUGAGUAACACGUGGGAAUCUGCCUUUUGGUUCGGGAUAACCGCGGGAAACUGCGGCUAAUACCGAAUGCCCUCGAGAGAGGAAAGAUUUAUCGCCAGAAGAGGAGCCCGCGUCCGAUUAGGUAGUUGGUGGGGUAAAGGCCUACCAAGCCGACGAUCGGUAGCUGGUCUGAGAGGAUGAUCAGCCACACUGGGACUGAGAUACGGCCCAGACUCCUACGGGAGGCAGCAGUGGGGAAUAUUGGACAAUGGGGGGCAACCCUGAUCCAGCAAUGCCGCGUGAGUGAUGAAGGCCUUAGGGUGUAAAGCUCUUUUGCCAGGGAAGAUGAUGACUGUACCUGGAGAAUAGCCCGGCUAACUUCGUGCCAGCAGCCACGGUAAU
rnacentral:rRNA from 1 species